rnacentral:rRNA from 1 species
CAGCAGCCACGGUAAUACGUAGGUCCCGAGCGUUGUCCGGGUUUAUUGGGCGUAAAGCGAGCGCAGGCGGUUAGAUAAGUCUGAUGUGAAAGCCCCCGGCUCAACCGGGGAGGGUCAUUGGAAACUGGGAAACUUGAGUGCAGAAGAGGAGAGUGGAAUUCCACGUGUAGCGGUGAAAUGCGUAGAGAUUAGGAGGAACACCAGUGGCGAAGGCGGCUUUUUGGCCUGUAACUGACACUGAGGCGCGAAAGCGUGGGGAGCAAACAGGAUUAGAUACCCCAGUAGUCCCUGUCUCUUAUAC